AAGUAAUAAAACAAUUUUAUUUUGAAAAUAAAAUAUGAAAUAUUAAUUUAUUUCAUUACUUU
rnacentral:tRNA from 1 species